rnacentral:rRNA from 1 species
UACGGGGGGGGCAAGCGUUGUUCGGAAUUACUGGGCGUAAAGGGCUCGUAGGCGGCCAACUAAGUCAGACGUGAAAUCCCUCGGCUUAACCGGGGAACUGCGUCUGAUACUGGAUGGCUUGAGAUUGGGAGAGGGAUGCGGAAUUCCAGGUGUAGCGGUGAAAUUCGUAGAUAUUCGCAAGAACACCAGUGGCGAAGGCGGCUCACUGGUCCGGUACUGACGCUGAGGUGCGAAAGCGUGGGGAGCAAACAGG